AUGGUCUGGAUGGUGUUUCUGCUCGGGCUCCUCACUUACAGCUCAGGGGUGGAUUCUCAGACUGUGGUCCAGGAGCCGUCACUUUCAGUGUCUCCAGGAGGGACAGUCACCCUCACCUGUGGCCAUAGCUCUGGGUCAGUCUCUACCAGUUACUACCCCAGCUGGUACCACCAGACCCCAGGCCAGGCUCCCCAAACUGUUAUCUACAACACAAACAGCUGCUUCUCUGGGGUCCCUGGUCGCUUCUCUGGAUCCAUCAUUGGGAAUAAAGCUGCCCUCACCAUCACGGGGGCCCAGCCCAAGGACGAGAACAAGUAUUAUUGUGCUCUAUAUGUGGGCAGUAUGUUCAUGUAG